GACGAACGCUGGCGGCGUGCUUAACACAUGCAAGUCGAGCGGUAAGGCCCUUUCGGGGGUACACGAGCGGCGAACGGGUGAGUAACACGUGGGUGACCUGCCCUCAGCUCUGGGAUAAGGCCUGGGAAACCGGGUCUAAAUACCGGAUAUGACUCCAUGACGCAUGUUGUGGGGUGGAAAGCCUUGUGCGGCUGAGGAUGGGCCCGCGGCCUAUCAGCUUGUUGGUGGGGUGAUGGCCUACCAAGGCGACGACGGGUAGCCGGCCUGAGAGGGCGACCGGCCACACUGGGACUGAGACACGGCCCAGACUCCUACGGGAGGCAGC
rnacentral:rRNA from 1 species